rnacentral:lncRNA from 1 species
CAAAGAGGGGAUUAAGCUUACUAACCUCAGAAGAGCCCGAAAUCAAGCUUGCAAGAGAGUUAGUGUCACACCCCGCGCCCGCUACCAAUUUGGCACGGCUCGGGCGCGUCGAACAGACGCCGAACGGACAGCACCUCCCCUGUCACGCCCCGAAGCCGCUACCAAUUUGGUCCGGUUCGGGCGCGUCGAACAGACGCCGAACGGACAGCACCUCGCCUGUCCGCCCAAGGCUAAACAACCAGAUCAUGUACAAAUAAGCGCCCAGGAAUGCUUAGAUAACAUACAUGAUCGAACACAGCGCACACAAGUGCAAUACAUCUAA